CAAUAUCGCCAGGGAACUACGAGCAAUGCUUAAAACCCAAAGGACUUGACGGUGCCCCAUAUCCGCCUAGAGGAGCCUGUCCUAGAAUCGAUGAUCCCCGUUUAACCUCACCCCUGCUUGCUACUCAGUCUGUAUACCUCCGUCGUCAGUCCACCACGUGAGUGAAACUCAGUGGGCCCAAUUGCUUAUUCAACGCUAAUACGUCAGGUCAAGGUGCAGCUUAUGCAGGGGGAAGAGAUGGGCUACACUCUCUAACUUAGAAGAUACGAAAGACUACCCAUGAAACACAGUCUGAAGGAGGAUUUAGCAGUAAGAUGGAACUAGAGCGUCCCUCUUAACACGGCUCUGGGGUGUGUACACACCGCCCGUCACCCUCUUCAAAGUAAAACACCUAGUUUUUAACCCACUACCGCUAUGAAGAAGAGGCAAGUCGUAACAUGGUAAGCGUACCGGAAGGUGUGCUUGGAAA
rnacentral:rRNA from 1 species